GCCGGCUUAGCUCAGUUGGUAGAGCAAUGGAAUCAUAAUCCAUGUGUCGGGGGUUCGACUCCCUCAGCCGGCA
rnacentral:tRNA from 1 species